UUCUCCACCGUUGCACAAAGAAAACCAAAUACACACACAGAAACCUAUAUAAAACACCAACAAUCAAUAAUUCAACAAAAUGAUGAUCAACUCAUUUCAGCAUUCCCGUGAAUUCAUGAAACCCAAUAAAGAAAAUUAGCUCAGUAAACAUGUAUAUGAACAUAUGUGUGUACCUAUCUGUGUGUGUUGUCUAAGCAACAAAAUACAACAGAGUGAGAGGGUAUAGGGGGCAUUACACCAAGGAAUUUGAGAAGCUCCUUGGUAGCAAAAGGAGGGUUGAGAGAAUAUUUCCAGCCUCCUUGAGCUGCUCCUCCAGCUCUUUCUUAGAAGAGCAAGACAUUUCAACAACAACCCAGAAAACAAAGAAGCCACGUUUUAGGGAUUUAUGCAAUUGAAAGGAAGAACUACAGUCCAAUUCAAAUUGAAAACCCACAUUGAAAUCCAGAAAUUAUGCAAUUAUGCAAUUGAAAUACAUGAAUUAUGCAAUUGAAGGGAAUAACUACAAAUCGUGGAGGGCAGGGGACGACGACGACGGAGAGUGACGAUGUGUGGGUGGAACCGUGGAGAGGAGGGGACGACGACGACACAAGACAUUGAGAGAAUCGAGUUGAAUUCGAUGACUCCAGUGACAGAGUCGAGCUCGUUUAUCAAUCAAAGUGGUGUGGGUGCCUGGGUUCUGUGAUGUCGGGGUGGUGGAGGAGACGACGAGGCGAAACGACGAGAGACAAUGGAGUCGAGUUCGAGGACUCCA
rnacentral:lncRNA from 1 species